rnacentral:lncRNA from 1 species
GUCAACCUGCUGAAAGAAAAAGGCCAGUUUCGAUUACCUUGACGCUCGAAGGUCACGGAGAUCAUUACGUAAAACGUGUCAUGCAGUGGUGUAGAGGUUGGGUGAGAAUGACACGUGUUGCUUCAUUAUCAAAAAGACCCAUCCCCGGCAAAGUCACCUGCAGAAGGAAAGGCCAGUUUGCAUUUCAAUCGAAGGUCAUGAAGAUCAUUACGUAAAAGGUGUCAGGUAUUGGUGUAGAGGUUGGGUGAAAACGGGACGUUUUGCUUCAUUAUCAAGAAGGUAAAAUAUAGCCAUUAGGCUUAAGAGGAGGGGUGAGAAAAAAUUGUAUUAAAGGCGAGAGAAAAGUUGACAGGGAUCAGUCGAGUGAGCAUCUCCGACCCGGCGACAACUUCAUUCUUCGUCGUAUUACCAGGUCGCAAUCACGGUUAACAAUGCCGUCAUGCUGCUAUUGGUUGUUGUAUCGUCGAUGGCUGGGUCGAUCACUGGUGUACCGACGUAUCCUGGUUAAGGCGGAUACCAAACCGCAACGCCACCGCCUUACUAAACAACAACAUACGCAACGACCAGAUACUACACCGAGGUUGCACUGUUGGGUUUACAGUUAAAUCACCAAGGAUCCAAAUUAUUACACCACAACUUGUGCUGCUCCUCGAGCUACACUACCAAAGCGCUACAGUACUACACCGAGGCACCUACUGAGACUACGCAACUACGUAUGCUGCCCCAACCUACGACACCGAGGCUCCAGCUUAUUACAUCACCAAGGCUGUCGAAUUCUACACUGGAGCGCCCAAGUACGACAGAAAUCAGUCAAGUGAGCUUCUCCGACACCCAACACGGCAACCCCGAAGUUUCGAAUAAACUUCGUUUCAAACAGUGGAACGGCAAAGAGUGAAGGUGUUAAACGAAAAUCUUUUCCAAUCCCUGAGCGGUGCCCUUAAAGAUGCCCACGAGCACGUAGCGCUGUUCCGCAACAUCGAUGGUGGUAACAUAGGUCGAGUUCUCCGUUCCCCUAAAUAUUUGAGCCAAUGGACAACCGAGAAAGUGAAAGCGGAAAGUGUUAAUGUUUUGCCCAAAGCUAAUGUUGAGGGUGUAAUUUUGGAAGACUACAAGGUCGCAUUGUCCUUAAACAAUGGUCAAAAGAUUUAAACUGACAAUGUCGUCGUUGCUGUCGGUUGGGACGUAAACACGGAUUUGGCUGUUGCUUUUGGUUUGGAAAUAGAGGAGAGGAGAUUUUGGUGGUUAUCGAGUCAAUACCGAGCUUGAAGCACAAUCGAACGUUUGUUUGACUGGAGAUGUUACGUUCUUUUCUGAUAUCAAAUUGGGUCGCUGUUGUAUGGAACAUGUUCACCAUGCUGUUGUAUCAGGGCGAUUGGCUGGAGAGAACAAUACUGGCAAAGAAAUAUGGAUGAAAAACUGCAGUGCACUAUUACCAAGUGGAUUCUUCGUCGUAUUAUCAGUACGCAAUCGGUUGAUUGUGAUGUCGCCGUUUGCCGUAUCGUUGAAAGCUGGG